rnacentral:lncRNA from 1 species
UUGUGCCCGGUGGGCAUCUGCUGCAUUCUAUUUGGCAAAGAUCAGUUAAUGGCUUGUUACUUCUGUCAAAUUCUUGCAACACCAGAAUCCAAAAAAUCUGUUAAGUAUAAGAAUUCUCUUUAGGCGUAUAGUAGUAUAAGAAUUUAAAUAUCAGCAGGCUAUAUUUUUAACGUCCUAUGUUUCCACAUUUUCUAUGCUGAGUUUUCAUGCAUUCUGAUUCAUUUUUUAAGACAUGAUAUUGUUAU